CGGGUGGCCGGGUUGGGAGAAGCCCCGGCGGAGCCCCGCGGCGGGGAAGGACGAGGCGGCGAGGACGCGUGGCGGCGGCCUCCUUGUCGGCAGCGCGUUCCCCCACCCACGUGGGUGCCUGGGACCCUGGCUUGUUGGCGCGGCUGCCCUUCCGCCGCCACCCAGCCUCCGGCCGCCUGAUACGGGGCCAGGCGCGGAGUCGCCCCGAAGCUUCCACAUUGAGCAUGGAACCCAACCCAUUCUGCUCCAAUGGAGCCGACCCCGUUGGAGUCCAACGCGGAGGUUCUGACUGGGGCAGGCCUUGCAGUUAAGAACUUGGACUCUGGAAUCGGAAAGCCUGGCCCCAGAGCCCACGACCGCUGCUUAUGAUCUAGUAGCUUCCGGCAAAGUCCUGAACCUCUCGUGGUCUACUGGCCACGACAGGAAACAGGCCAAGAGUGAGGAACUAACUAGCUUGCCAAGUCACGGGCUGAGUAAGCGAUUUGAAUCUUUGAAUCGAGGUGCGUUUGACUCUUGUCUCCUAAGAUAGGACUAGAUCGAGGGGAGAGAGGGCAUUCCAGGUAAACUGUGCAGCCGGGAAGCAGCUCCAGCCUGAAGUUAAGUGCUUGUGUGGGACGAGGGGGUAACUGGACUAGGGGAG